rnacentral:rRNA from 1 species
UACGGAGGGCGCAAGCGUUGUUCGGAAUCAUUGGGCGUAAAGCGCGUGUAGGCGGCUUGGCAAGUCGAGUGUGAAAGCCCGGGGCUCAACCCCGGAAGGUCGCUCGAAACUGCCUCGCUCGAGUCUCGGAGAGGAAGGUGGAAUGCUUGGUGUAGAGGUGAGAUUCGUAGAUAUCAAGCAGAACACCGGUGGCGAAGGCGGCUUCCUGGACCGACACUGACGCUGAGGCGCGAAAGCCAGGGGAGCAAACGGG